CCUACGGGAGGCAGCAGUGAGGAAUAUUGGUCAAUGGGCGCGAGCCUGAACCAGCCAAGUCGCGUGAGGGAAGACGGUCCUAUGGAUUGUAAACCUCUUUUGUCGGGGAGCAAAAGACGCCACGCGUGGCGUUCCGAGAGUACCCGAAGAAAAAGCAUCGGCUAACUCCGUGCCAGCAGCCGCGGUAAUACGGAGGAUGCGAGCGUUAUCCGGAUUUAUUGGGUUUAAAGGGUGCGCAGGCGGAAGAUCAAGUCAGCGGUAAAAUUGAGAGGCUCAACCUCUUCGAGCCGUUGAAACUGGUUGUCUUGAGUGAGUGAGAGGUAUGCGGAAUGCGUGGUGUAGCGGUGAAAUGCAUAGAUAUCACGCAGAACUCCGAUUGCGAAGGCAGCAUACCGGCGCUCAACUGACGCUCAUGCACGAAAGUGUGGGUAUCGAACAGGAUUAAAUACCCCAGUAGUC
rnacentral:rRNA from 1 species